UAGGGAAUCUUCGGCAAUGGGGGGAACCCUGACCGAGCAACGCCGCGUGAGUGAAGAAGGUUUUCGGAUCGUAAAGCUCUGUUGUUAAGGAAGAACGAGUGUGAGAAUGGAAAGUUCAUGCUGUGACGGUACUUAACCAGAAAGGGACGGCUAACUACGUGCCAGCAGCCGCGGUAAUACGUAGGUCCCGAGCGUUGUCCGGAUUUAUUGGGCGUAAAGCGAGCGCAGGCGGUUAGAAAAGUCUGAAGUGAAAGGCAGUGGCUCAACCAUUGUAGGCUUUGGAAACUGUUUAACUUGAGUGCAGAAGGGGAGAGUGGAAUUCCAUGUGUAACGGUGAAAUGCGUAGAUAUAUGGAGGAACACCAGUGGCGAAGGCGACUUACUGGGCCAUAACUGACGCUGAGGCGCGAAAGCGUGGGGAGCAAACAGG
rnacentral:rRNA from 1 species